AGAUAUGAUCCAGAGUACCACGGGACACGUGAAACCCUGUGGGAAGCAGGAGGGACCACCCUCCAAGGCUAAAUACUACCUAGUGACCGAUAGCGUAUAGUACCGUGAGGGAAAGGUGAAAAGAACCCCGGGAGGGGAGUGAAAUAGAACCUGAAACCCUGCACUUACAAGCUGUGGAAGCACAUUUCUUGUGUGACCGCGUACUUUUUGUAGAACGGGCCAACGAGUUACGUUAAGUAGCAAGGUUAAGCACUUAAGGUGCGGAGCCGUAGCGAAAGCGAGUUUUAACUGAGCGUUCAGUUACUUGACGUAGACCCGAAACCGGGCGACCUACCCAUGAGCAGGAUGAAGCGAAAGUAAAAUUUCGUGGAGGUCCGAACCCACGAGCGUUGAAAAGCUCGGGGAUGACUUGUGGGUAGCGGUGAAAUUCCAAUCGAGCCCGGAGAUAGCUGGUUCUCCCCGAAAUAGCUUUAGGGCUAGCCUCAAGGUGAGAGAUACGGAGGUAGAGCACUGAAUGUCCUAGGGGGUAUUGCACCUACCGAAGACUAUCAAACUCCGAAUGCCGUCAUCUUAUACUUGGGAGUCAGACUGUGGGUGAUAAGAUUCAUAGUCGAAAGGGCAACAGCCCAGAUCGUCAGCUAAGGUCCCUAAAUGUAAGUUAAGUGGUAAAGGAUGUGGGAUUGCACAGACAACCAGGAUGUUGGCUUAGAAGCAGCCACUCAUUCAAAGAGUGCGUAAUAGCUCACUGGUCGAGUGAUCCUGCGCCGAAGAUUUCCGGGGCUAAAACUUACUACCGAAGCUACGGCAUCAGUAAUGAUGGGUAGGGGAGCUUCCCAUACGGGUUGAAGCAUGACCGUAAGGACAUGUGGACAGUAUGGGAGUGAGAAUGUUGGCAUGAGUAGCGAGAUGUGGGUGAGAAUCCCACAGGCCGUAAACCCAAGGUUUCCAGGGGAAGGUUCGUCCGCCCUGGGUUAGUCGGGACCUAAGCUGAGGCCGAAAGGCGUAGGUGAUGGACAACAGGUUGAUAUUCCUGUACUACCGAUAACCGUUUGAGAGAAGGGAUGACACAGUAGGAUAAGCUAAGCACACUGUUGGUUAUGUGUGCCCAAGCAUUGAGGCAGUCAAAGUAGGCAAAUCCGCUUUGAUAAUGCUGGGAUGUGAUGGGGAGCGAAAUUUAGUAGCGAAGUAGCUGAUUUCACACUGUCAAGAAAAGUCUCUAUCGAGGUUAAAGGUACCCGUACCGCAAACCGACACAGGUGGGUGAGGAGAGUAUCCUAAGGCCAGCGAGAGAACUGUUGUUAAGGAACUCGGCAAAAUGACCCCGUAACUUAGGGAUAAGGGGUGCCACCAUCAGGUGGCCGCAGAGAAUAGGCCCAAGCGACUGUUUACCAAAAACAUAGGUUUCUGCUAAGUCGCAAGACGAUGUAUAGGAGCUGACGCCUGCCCGGUGCUGGAAGGUUAAGGGGAUCUGUUAGAGCAAUCGAAGCAGUGAACUUAAGCCCCAGUAAACGGCGGCCGUAACUAUAACGGUCCUAAGGUAGCGAAAUUCCUUGUCGGGUAAGUUCCGACCCGCACGAAAGGCGUAACGAUUUGGGCACUGUCUCAACAACAGACUCGGUGAAAUUGUAAUUCCGGUGAAGAUGCCGGAUACCUGCGACAGGACGGAAAGACCCCAUGGAGCUUUACUGUAGCUUGACAUUGGGUCUUGGUACUACAUGUACAGGAUAGGUGGGAGGCUUUGAAACCAGGACGCCAGUUUUGGCGGAGCCAUCCUUGGGAUACCACCCUUGUAGUACUGGGACUCUAACCAUAGGCCAUGAAUCUGGUCUUGGGACACUGUCAGGUGGGCAGUUUGACUGGGGCGGUCGCCUCCCAAAAGGUAACGGAGGCGCUCAAAGGUUCUCUCAGUACGGUCGGAAAUCGUACGUAGAGUGUAAAGGCAAAAGAGAGCUUGAUUGCAAGACAUACAGGUCGAGCAAGGAUGAAAAUCGGACUUAGUGAUCCGGUGGUUCUGCGUGGAAGGGCCAUCGCUCAACGGAUAAAAGCUACCCUGGGGAUAACAGGCUUAUCUCCCCCAAGAGUCCACAUCGACGGGGAGGUUUGGCACCUCGAUGUCGGCUCAUCACAUCCUGGGGCUGUAGUAGGUCCCAAGGGUUGGGCUGUUCGCCCAUUAAAGUGGUACGCGAGCUGGGUUCAGAACGUCGUGAGACAGUUCGGUCCCUAUCCGUCGCAGGCGUAGGAAAUUUGAGAAGACCUGUCCUUAGUACGAGAGGACCGGGAUGGACG
rnacentral:rRNA from 1 species